GGGAAACAGAAAUGACAAUUGCUUCUUACAAAAAAAACAGGGCAAUUUCCUCAGAAAAAACAGACUGAGCUGAGGGAGCGACAUAUGAUACCUCUGCAUAUCCUGGCUAAGAUUUUUACUGCUAUGCUGAGCUGUGAACAGUUCAGGAGGGAAGAUGGCCAAUGAUGCCGUGGGAAGGAGCGUCCCCACUGAACAAGGUGCUUUGUGCAGAUGAAUUGCUCUAAGAAGGAAGGGUCAGUACUCCUUAGAGAGAGCUUGUUUGUUCGAGAUGGAUUUCGUGUGACGUUCGGAAUGUGGUGUGUGCUUUGACGUGAACCAUGGGUCCAGAGCACGAGUAAAAAGACAACUUCAAGAGAAAGCCCUCUCUACCAAGGAGCACACCAAGGAGAAGAUGGCGGCACAACACAGCUUGCAGAGGCCACUCCAGUGGUGAUGUCUGUUAUUUGUCAAGUAGGGUGCCGUGCACAAUCCUGAUUUGAUGGAGACUGAUGUGAGA